rnacentral:rRNA from 1 species
CCUACGGGUGGCAGCAGUGAGGAAUAUUGGUCAAUGGGCUUACGCCUGAACCAGCCAAGUCGCGUGAGGGAAGACUGCCCUAUGGGUUGUAGACCUCUUUUGUCAGGGGGCAACGCCGGCUACGUGUAGCCGGACUGAGAGUACCUGAAGAAAAAGCAUCGGCUAACUCCGUGCCAGCAGCCGCGUUAAUACGGAGGAUGCGAGCGUUAUCCGGAUUUAUUGGGUUUAAGGGGUGCGUAGGCGGAAUGCCACGUCAGCGGUAAAAUCGCGGGGCUCAACCUGUGGCCUGCAUUGGAAAAUGUAGUGCUUGAGUACUGUAGAGGAAGACGGAAUUCGUGUUGUAGCGGUGAAAUGCGUAGAUAUUAGGAGGAAAACCAGUGGCGAAGGCGGUCUGCUGGACAGCAACUGACGCUGAGGCGCGAAAGCGUGGGGAGCAAACAGGAUUGGAUACCCGGGUAGU